CCUGCACUUUGUGCUGCAAGAGUUUUUCAGCUAACAAGAGAAUUGGGUCAUAAAACUGAUGGUGAAACUAUUCAAUGGCUGCUUCAACAGGCUGAACCUGCGAUCGUUGCUGCUACUGGUUCUGGUACUAUUCCAGCUUCAUUUCUUACCGCCUCGGCUUCUGGGGCAUCGUCUGUGUCGCCGCAGGGCGCGUCUGUAUCACUGGGGUUGCACGCUAAGAUCAAUGAAUUGAGGGCUGGUGUUGAGGUGGGGAAUCGGGCGAAUUGGGCGAAUUUUGGUGAUAGUUUGGGAAGAUCUCAAGUUGCUGGUACAUCGAUUUGGCCGUCUAUUGGAAGUGGGUAUGCACAAGUUUUUGAUGGUUGUUCUGCUACUGCUUCGAAUUUAGUCAGUCAAAAUUCUGGUUAUGUCACAAAUUUUCAAUUGCAAGGAGUUGGAAUGCCUACUGCUAAUAUGGGUUUAUUGAGUUUUACUCCGAUUUUGGCUCGGGGAACUCAGGUUCCCGGCCUUCAACUCGGGCUUUCACAAGAUGGGCAUGGUGGUGUUAUUGGACAAAUUUAUCAGCAGCAGCAGCACCAACAGCAACAUCAUCACCAAGCGCAGGAUCAUGAACAAAAUAAUAAUUCAGGUGCUGCUGCUGCUGAAACCGUGCACCCGCAUCAGCACCAGCAUCAGCAGCAGCACUUGCAGUCGCAUUCUAAUGAUGACAAUUCAAGAGAGCAAUGAAUUCAUAUUGCUUUCUUUGUUGUUUGUUUGCAUUUUAUUUUUGUUUUUGGUUUAUAUAUAUUGUAAGUAUGUUUUGUGAAUUGUGGAAAUAGGGGGAUUGUUGAGGAAUGUUUUCAUUUUCGGAAAAAAAAAAUGGAUUAAGAGGGUUGCAUUUAAUUCUCAUUUAAAUCCAAUUUUUUAGAUUAUGAUUUGACUAUUUUUGGGAUUUUUUUAUGGCUUCUUGGUUGUUGUGUGUGCCCCUUUUACAACUUUCAUGGGGAUUAUCAGAACUGUCCUAAACUUUUAUAUUUAAGGUAAUGAUUUUUCUCUUCUUUCUUUUUUAUUAAUAUUAAUGAAUUUUUUUAAUGGUUUAUACCAUACUAAUUUUUGUUUAUUUAAAUUAUCUUUUUGACUUGAGUUAUUAUAUCAUAUCUUCACAGCAACAAAUGCCUGCAUUUCAUUUUCAAUAUUUUUCGAGUGUGCGUAAAGCUGUGGAACUCUUGAAGUAGUCAGAUGUAUUGGCAAUGUUAUAAGUACUAAAAUUAUUACUCAAGGUAGUUUAUUUUCUUGCACAAAAACGAUUUGAAGUUGGUUUUCUUGAAUUACUAUUUCUGGUUAUAAACUUUGCACAAAAUGGUAACAUCUCAAGAUCAGAAUAAAUGGUGUGCUUAUGCUACUCUUCAAUACUAAUCUUCUCUUGUUUAUUGCUUUAAUUUCGUGGAAUUUCGCAUCCUUCUCUUUGAUUAGAAAUAUGUCUGAUAUGUUUUGGGAAUUUGAUCUUUUAGGAUUCACAUUCGUUUUUUUAUAAAAAAUUAUAGAUUUGUUGGCCUUAUGUUGUCUUCCUGGGAAUCUUUUGUAUAAAAAACAUUAUAUUUUCGGGUUUCGUCUUUCCUACUUAACCUACAAUUGUUUAUGAUAUUCUCACAUGAUUUGGCUUUUGGUUUCAUUGCAGGGUAAUAAUUGACAAUGAUAUUUCUGAGAGUGCCACUAUAAUACAGGUAGAUAUAUCCUUAAAUUUCCAGCCUUUGUUUUAUCUUUAUAAAUGGUUUAUUUUGCAUCUUUAGAGAACUAGCUCAACAUCUCCUAAAUUGGAAAUGUGGAAUAUGUCCCAUUGUCCCAAAAGGGUGCAUAAUAAUUCGGCCUUUUGCUAUUUUGGUUGUUGAUCAAGAAUAUGUUUUUAGGCCAAGGAAUAUCACUUAUUGUAGUUUUGGAACAUGUUUGGAUAUUAUAUUAUAGAGGACUAACAGUUUGAUGUAUCUGAAAGUUUGAAGUUUCGGUCCUAUUCAGUUUAGCAGUGUGAGGCAUGAGAUUUUUUUCGAAACAAUCCAAACCCUCACCGAUUUUAGUCUCAUAUUGACUAAAGCUUAUGUUUCAGGCGAGGAUGGAUGGUUCAUGGAUGUAUGGGCAGAAAAUUCAAGAUAAAGGACUCAUUGACCAUUUAUGCCAGGCUAGAUUCUAAACAUUCAAUUUUUGCUACAAAUUUGCUUCUCAGGACUAAUAUAAUGAUGAUCUGACCUUUUGCCAUUUCAACUAGUUAUAAGCUCAUUCCUCUGACCAACCCUUUCUGAUAUAGCAUUUACAUCAAUGUUUCAGGCUCUUGCGGCUAAAAGUUGUUUGUUCAAUUCCGCAAAUGAGACAGUUGAAAUGUUUCCACAUCAAGGGUAUACUAUGAUUCUGAUGAGUGGCAUUGAUAGGCCAGGGUUACUGUAUGAGUUGUCUGAGAUUUUAACGCACCAUGGAGUUCAUAUCGUAAAUGCUGACUUGUGGACUCAUAAGCAUCAUGCUUCAGCAAUGAUCAAUGUUGUAGAUGAAUCUAUGGGAUUAAAAAUCAAUGACAGUAAAAAGUUAUCUGGGAUCAAGAAAGAUUUGGGUCAUAUAAUUAAACCGUCAGUCAAGUUCAGGUCUCCGGAGAAUUGGAAUGUUGAAGACAGGAGUUCUAGAACACGUGUCACCGCAUCAAACUGCAGUUACCGAGACUAUACACCCAUAGAUAUACGGUCUGACAACAGAGUAAAUCUCUUGCUUGAUACGAUAAGUACUCUCAUGGUUAUGCAAUAUGUUGUGUUUCAUGGAUCUGUAGCAGUAGGAAAGAUAAAAACUUUUCAGCAUGAGGCUAUGAGAACCACUUAUAGAUUCGUGGAAUACAAUCUCACAAGGUGAAAAAGAUACUUAUAUUCCUACAAACGCAGACACGUCGAUGGGCGCUCAAUCAGCAUAAUUGAGGAACGUGAGGAACUGGAGGAAGCUCUUGAGCAAACCAUUAGCCCAGACUCAGAGGGGGUUGAAUUUGCUUCGACGGCUGGCUGAUACAAUUGUCUAAAUUUAUGACUGUACUUAAGAGAUAUAGGCUGUUGGAUUAAGAGAGCACACAUUUCUACUGUUGAUGCGGAAGUAAAACAUAUAUAUUGGGUCACUGAUAAUAGUGGUGAAGCUGUCGAUCAGCGGACCAUUGAUUUGAUACAGGAGCAGAUAGGAGAAAGCACGCUACCGGUGAAAAAAAAGCCGGUACAGUCCCGUGGGACUCCAACAGAAGGCUUAAGGCUUCUUGUUUGGUAACUCAAUGAGGCGUCUAGCUGCACUAAUAAAUGAUUUCUUCACAGCCAACUGUUUUGCAUGAUAAGAUUGAUACUGUAUUUUCAUACCAUGGGAUCAAUAAUUUUAGGGGUGACAAUUUUGUUAGAAGUUCAUUGUUAAUUUAUAAACAAUAAUAUCGCUACAGUUUUUGGUGUUGGUAAUGUGAUUUUGUGAAGCAAACUGAAAAAUAGCAACAUAAUUGUAAUAUUUACAUGAUCUGUUUGCAUUUUGAAGCUCAAAUAUUACAUUGUUACUCAAACUUGUCCAGCAGUUCUAAAUGGAAAAUUUUAUGGAUACAACACGGAGGAGAUCAAAUUUCUACCUCCCAUGGCAUUACAGAGAAAAGAGGCAAUCACCUUUCAAAAAAAAGAAAAAGAAAA